CCUACGGGUGGCAGCAGUGGGGAAUAUUGCACAAUGGGCGCAUGCCUGAUGCAGCCAUGCCGCGUGUGUGAAGAAGGCCUUCGGGUUGUAAAGCACUUUCAGCGGGGAGGAAGGCGGUGAGGUUAAUAACCUCAUCGAUUGACGUUACCCGCAGAAGAAGCACCGGCUAACUCCGUGCCAGCAGCCGCGGUAAUACGGAGGGUGCAAGCGUUAAUCGGAAUUACUGGGCGUAAAGCGCACGCAGGCGGUCUGUCAAGUCGGAUGUGAAAUCCCCGGGCUCAACCUGGGAACUGCAUUCGAAACUGGCAGGCUAGAGUCUUGUAGAGGGGGGUAGAAUUCCAGGUGUAGCGGUGAAAUGCGUAGAGAUCUGGAGGAAUACCGGUGGCGAAGGCGGCCCCCUGGACAAAGACUGACGCUCAGGUGCGAAAGCGUGGGGAGCAAACAGGAUUAGAUACCCGGGUAGUC
rnacentral:rRNA from 1 species